AGAACGAACGCUGGCGGCAGGCCUAACACAUGCAAGUCGAACGCGACCUUCGGGUCGAGUGGCGCACGGGUGAGUAACGCGUGGGAAUCUGCCCUGUGGUACGGAAUAACAUCGGGAAACUGGUGCUAAUACCGUAUAUCCCCUGAGGGGGAAAGAUUUAUCGCCAUGGGAGGAGCCCGCGUAGGAUUAGCUAGUUGGUGAGGUAAAGGCUCACCAAGGCGACGAUCCUUAGCUGGUCUGAGAGGAUGAUCAGCCACACUGGGACUGAGAUACGGCCCAGACUCCUACGGGAGGCAGCAGUGGGGAAUAUUGGACAAUGGGGGAAACCCUGAUCCAGCCAUGCCGCGUGUGUGAUGAAGGCCUUCGGGUUGUAAAGCACUUUCGCACGUGACGAUGAUGACGGUAACGUGAGAAGAAGCCCCGGCUAACUUCGCGCCAGCAGCCGC
rnacentral:rRNA from 1 species